rnacentral:rRNA from 1 species
AACCAAACGCCGAGUUAAGGGGCCAAAAGGAAAUGCUAAGUGACACCACGGAAGGGUGUUGUUUGCUAUAGACAGCAGGACGGUGGCCAUGGAAGUUGGAAUCCGCUAAGGAGUGUGUAACAACUCACCUGCCGAAGCAAGCAACCCCGAAAAUGGAUGGCGCUAAAGCUUUCUCCCGAUACUCGGCCGCCGGCGGCAUAGGCGGGCAUGCAUAGCCCGUUCGAGGCCCCGGCGAGUAGGAGGUGCGCGGCAGUGUGCUGUGAAGGCUGCGGAGUAAUCCGCACUGGAGCCGCUGUCGGUGCAGAUCUUGGUGGAAGUAGCAAACAUUCAAUCACGGCUGAUCACUGAUUGUUGACCGAGGUGGAGAAGGGUUCCACGACAACUGCAAUAGGUCGUGGGUUAGUCGGUCCUUAGCCCCGGGAUACUCCCCCGAGAUCCACUGUCACAUGCUAUGCAGCAUCUAAACUGUGUAUUGUAAACCAACUCUACCGGUUUUGCUGUUAACCUAGUGGCAGCUGGGGCGAAAGGGAAUACGGUUAAUAUUCCGUAACCUGGCCUGUAACUACCAAGAGUUUUGAUACUUACCGGCAUACCAUGCUUGUAUCUUAACCUCUUUUGAGCUCAUACAAAAAAAGUCGCAUUUGAUGAUGGUACUUGCUUGUUUCAACGUCACCUAGUAGUCCUGUGGACAAGUAAUAAGUGUUUGGGAAGCCCUGUCUAUAUCCUGGCGACAGGAGCCUGACGGUCUUCGUCGGCAGUGGACCGGGGAAGAGUUCUCUUCUCUUUUUGAGGCAGCUGGGAAGACCUCGGAGAAUAUACUCAUUAGACGAAGAGGUCUGUCAGUAGCAUUCGCUACCCCAGUUUAAUGUGCCGUAGAGCGCCACGCAUUUAGGCGUAGGUGUCCCGUGCUCUGCUGUCGGCCCUUGAAAAGACUCUGAGGGGGAAAGGGGAACCCAUCACUGACUGCUAUAAAAGCAGUGGCGAAAAGUGACAAUUGGCAAGCAAACCACGUGCCUCAUCACAAAUAGUCCCAAAGCCUUUUGGCGGCAAUGUGACCAAGAAACCAUUGUACCUAGUUGAGCUUCAAAAACCAAAAUACAAUACGUAUUAUAGGCCAGACCGUACCUAAUCCGCAUCAGGUCUCCAAGGUGUGAAGCCUCUGGACGAUAGAUAAAUGUAGGUAAGGGAAGUCGGCAAGUCAGAUCCGUAACUUCGGGAUAAGGAUUGGCUCUAAAGGUCGAGUCCAGUUGGGCCUUUGCCGGAAACGGUGUCCCCUCUUGACUGGGCGGUUCCCUCGCUCCGUCUAACGCGUCUGUCGGCCGUGCCUUCGCGGGCGCUUCGUCGUUACUGUUGAUACCCUCUUGGGUGCCUUGGCCCGACAGUGCUGGGUGAUGGACUGGGUGAGAGGCGGUUUCGGCCGCUGGGUAGCUCGGACCAGAGUCUGGUGCCAGUACGGCCUUGGAUUGCCCUUGGGGGAGGAGGUGCGGCGAGGUGUGCAGGCAGGCGUGGGGGUGCUGGGAUCUCCGUCUUGUCUCGGCUAAAGGGGUCCGUGGAAAGCUCAGGCAAAGGUGCGGGCUUGGCUCCUCGCGGGCCUUGUCGCGUACCGCGACUGGGCAAAAACGACCAACUUAGAACUGGCACGGACUAGGGGAAUCCGACUGUUUAAUUAAAACAAAGCAAAGUGAGAGAGGGAGACCUUUAUCACGCUUUGUGAUUUCUGCCCAGUGCUCUGAAUGUCAAAGUGAAGAGAUUCAACCAAGCGCGGGUAAACGGCGGGAGUAACUAUGACUCUCUUAAGGUAGCCAAAUGCCUCGUCAUCUAAUUAGUGACGCGCAUGAAUGGAUUAACGAGAUUCCCACUGUCCCUACCUACUAUCUAGCGAACCCACAGGCAGGGGAACGGGCCUGCAUUGGACAGCGGGGAAAGAAGACCCUGUUGAGCUUGACUCUAGUUUGAUUUUGUAGAGAGACGUCAGAGGUGUAGAAUACGUGGGAGGGCUGGUUCUUUCGGGUUCCUUUCCGCCGGUGAAAUACCACGACUCUGAUAGUUUCUCUACUUACUCGGUUAUGCGGGAACGAAGGCUCACCCAGCAGGGAGAUGCCCUUCGAUUGUAGAGUCCAAGAACCCGUGUGUCUCGCACAGUCUCCUCUCGUCUGCGUUCGGCCCGUGUACUGGCGUUGCACUCGUGUGGCGCUUCAGGCGGAUCCCGGGCAAAGUCGGAGGGACGGGCGGGCUGGAGUGCGAAAGCUUCCCCUGGGCGGCCAGUAGCCUCCCCCGCCUAGAUAAAAGGGUUCGACCCGUGCCGAGGACAGAAUCAGAUGGGGAGUUUGACUGGGGCGGUACAUCUGUCAAAGAAUAACGCAGAUGUCCCAAGGUCAGCUCAGUGUGGACAGAAACCACACGUAGAGCCUAAGGGCAAAUGCUGGCUUGAUCCGGAUUUUCAGUACGAAUACGGACAGCGAAAGCUAGGCCUAACGAUCCUUUUGACUUUUACGAGUUUUAAGCAAGAGGUGUCAGAAAAGUUACCACAGGGAUAACUGGCUUGUGGCAGCCAAGCGCUCGUAGCGACGUUGCUUUUUGAUCCUUCGAUGUCGGCUCUUCCUAUCAUUGCGACGCAGCAGUCGCCAAGUGUGGGAUUGUUCACCCUCUAACAGGGAACGUGAGCUGGGUUUAGACCGUCGCGAGACAGGUUAGUUUUACCCUACUGUCCACGUCGAGUGCUCUCUCCCGAGACGCUCGAAUCGCAUCGCGCCAGUAGCCCCGCCCAGUACGAGAGGAACGGUGGGUCCGGACCUCUGGUCAAUGGGUUGCUCGAUCGGGCAUUGCCCAGCAGCUACGUCCGCCCGGAUAAUCCCUGAAAGCCUCUCAAGGGAGAAACCGACCUGUGCGUUAAACGAUGCGUCCCCUUCGGGGGGCAUACGGGAUACUCCUGGCUGGUCAGAGAAAGGGAUUCGUCCCUCGUUUCAACGCCCGAGUGCCGUCUGCUAGCGCGGCGGACCCCCUCUUUGCUGAGGGGCGGGUGGACUGUGCCCAAGAGUACAUGGGGAACUCUGUUCGCUUGCCUUGUUGCCUCUUGCUCACGCCGUUACUUGCGGAAGGGCUUGUGGCGCCUGGCGUGGACAGCAGGAGA